UACGGGGGGGGCAAGCGUUGUUCGGAAUUACUGGGCGUAAAGGGCUCGUAGGCGGCCAACUAAGUCAGACGUGAAAUCCCUCGGCUUAACCGGGGAACUGCGUCUGAUACUGGAUGGCUCGAGAUUGGGAGAGGGAUGCGGAAUUCCAGGUGUAGCGGUGAAAUGCGCAGAUAUCAGGAAGAACACCCGUGGCGAAGGCGGCUCUCUGGGACGGUACUGACGCUGAGACGCGAAAGCGUGGGGAGCGAACAGG
rnacentral:rRNA from 1 species